GUUAGUCCCUCUGAGGGAAGCCAGUUACCAAGUUGUGAGCUGCUCUAUGGAGAGGCCCACGUGGCAGAGAAAUAACGUCUUCUGCAACAGCCAACGGGGAGGGUCUUAGGUCUGCCAACGGCCACAUGACCGAGCUUGGAAGUGAAUCUUCUGAGCCGGCCAACAACCCACGAUUGAAGCCAUCAAGCUACAAAUGAUCUUACAAAUGGAACCUCAAAUGAGCUCAACUCACGGCUUCUACCGAGGACCUGUGGUUCAACCCACUGGUCCCUCGAUUAGCCUAGAAAGCUCCCCUCUGGAGAACACCAAACUGCAGGCCCCUUCUUCGCCCCUAAUCAGCAGGAAGUAGCUGAAACGACUGCCGCACAGUUUCCAACAGUAGUUGGGGUGUCCUGUUUAGAGGCAGGACUGAGAGGAGGUGCCAGCUGGGCUUCCUGGGUCAAGUAGGGACCCCGAAAGCUGUGAAACUCACUCAUUUCCUGCAUCAGGACUUACUUAGUCCUGGAUGAAUAAUGUUGAAGAUAUAUGCUUAAAAUAUUCCUAACACCGGGAUUUGUGCAUGUGUUUUCCUCCCCAAGAAAGCUAUAAACAGUGAAAAUUUUGCUGUAAGUUUCCUUGUGUGCUCUCCCCCCUCUCCCUUCCCCCUCCCCCGAAACUAAAAUAAAAGAAAUAUUAACUGCCCAUUUUCCUGUGACCAGAGGACCUUAUCGAUGCUCCCAAUUUCAAUUCCUUGUAAAUAUACUUUGUAAAGUCCUGUAAGAUCCUGUCUUCUUUGCCAUGCCACUGCAAGGUCAUAAAGUAGAUAAAAUCUAAGUUGCAAAUCCAGUUUUCCUCAAAAUCUAAGACUUGUCACAAAAUAAUUUAAAAACAAAGGCACAAAAUGCCUUUGUUCCUUGCUCCUGUGACAAGCUUCCAGCCUCACACAUCUCCCACCUUAAAGAGUUUAAAAGGCAAUCACCCAAAACCAACAGUGGCUACCUGUUCCGGACCCAUUCCAUGCUGUGGAAGCUUUGUACUUUCACUCAGAUUAAUAAAGCUUAUGGUUUUUUUUCU